rnacentral:rRNA from 1 species
AUGUCGAUUUCCGAUCGGGUUACUCUGAUCAGAUCGGUCCUUUAUGCUAUCCCCACAUUCCAGUUGUUGGCGAUCGACCCGAAUCCGUGGAUGGUUAAGAAGUUUGACAAGCUCUGUUGUGGGUUCCUCUGGGCCAACAAAGAUGAAGCCCCUGGUGGGAAAUGUCUGAUAAACUGGAAGUAGGUAUGUCUGCCUCGUGCCAUGGGCGGCCUGGGCGUGCCUAGCCUGGGAUACAAGAGCUUGGCCCUGAGAUGCAGAUGGCUUUGGUUAUCUUCGAUGGAUCGGUCCAAGCCAUGGAUUGGGCUUCCCCUGCCUGUCGACCGGACCGUGCGACAACUUUUCGAGGUGUCGGUGGACUUCUCAAUUGGGGAUGGCACGAUCACACAAUUCUGGACUGACCCAUGGCUGCGGCGUCAAAGUCUGUGCACAACUUACCCUGACCUUUUUGGCCAGUGCACCCUCCGACGCAUAACCAUUGCUGCGGCUUUGCAUAAUGACAAGUGGAUGAGACAUUUCAAGCUCAACAUGACUGCUGAUGCGCUCCUCCAGUUCACAAACCUAUGGCACGACCUUGAAGCAAUGCACCUCAAUCCGGAUCAGCAAGACUCAAUCUCAUGGAGAUGGACGGCCAAUGGUGUUUACAGCGCAGCCUCUGCGAACAGAAUUCUCUUUGCUGCAACCAUCAAGCAGGACUUUGCCAAAAUGGCAUGGAACUCUGAGGCCCCACUGAAGUGA